CAAUCAUGGCCAUACAGAGCAGAUAAAACUCAGAGGAAACUUGCACAGAUGCUGCUUUGGAGAACUCUUUCAGCCCAGGUUGCAGAGCUGAGCCUUGGUAAACCUGUCUCUAUUACAGCACAUUGCCAUACGUCUAAGUGCAUAAGGCAUUACAUUCCUUUGCUUCCAGACCCCCCUCCAACGAGAAGUCUGCAUCUGUGUAACAGUGGCUGCAGCCUUCUCCAUCCAGCUGAGAGUGAAAUUGUGUGUGAAAGAGGAGUCAGGGUAUCCUGCCUGGCACACCGCGCAGAUUGCCAAGGCUUUUGCACUUGCUGACAGCUCAGCUGUGGGCUCAAGGAUGCUGCAUCUGAAAGUCCAGUUCUUGGAUGACUCCCAGAAGAUCUUUGUAGUGGAUGUA
rnacentral:lncRNA from 1 species